rnacentral:piRNA from 1 species
GGAUCUGAGAAGGGUAUGCACC